UACGUAGGGGGCUAGCGUUGUCCGGAAUCAUUGGGCGUAAAGCGCGCGUAGGCGGCCCGGUAAGUCCGCUGUAAAAGUCAAAGGCUCAACCUUUGAAUGUCAGUGGAUACUGCCGGGCUAGAGUCCGGAAGAGGCGAGUGGAACUCCUGGUGUAGCGGUGGAAUGCGCAGAUAUCAGGAAGAACACCAACGGCGAAGGCAGCUCGCUGGGACGGUACUGACGCUGAGGCGCGAAAGCUAGGGGAGCGAACGGG
rnacentral:rRNA from 1 species